ACGAUUGACGGAGCGGAGCGACGUGAAAGCGUUUUACAACGUUGAGUUGGCUUAGGGAUACGUUCGUUGGGUAGGGGAGCGUUCUGUAAGCCUGCGAAGGUGUGCUGUGAGGCAUGCUGGAGGUAUCAGAAGUGCGAAUGCUGACAUAAGUAACGAUAAAGCGGGUGAAAAGCCCGCUCGCCGGAAGACCAAGGGUUCCUGUCCAACGUUAAUCGGGGCAGGGUGAGUCGACCCCUAAGGCGAGGCCGAAAGGCGUAGUCGAUGGGAAACGGGUUAAUAUUCCCGUACUUGGUGUUACUGCGAAGGGGGGACGGAGAAGGCUAUGUUGGCCGGGCGACGGUUGUCCCGGUUUAAGCGUGUAGGUGUGUGUUCCAGGUAAAUCCGGUUCACUUUAACACUGAGGCGUGAUGACGAGGCACUACGGUGCUGAAGCAACAAAUGCCCUGCUUCCAGGAAAAGCCUCUAAGCAUCAGGUAACACGAAAUCGUACCCCAAACCGACACAGGUGGUCAGGUAGAGAAUACCAAGGCGCUUGAGAGAACCCGGGUGAAGGAACUAGGCAAAAUGGUGCCGUAACUUCGGGAGAAGGCACGCUGACACGUAGGUGAAGUGAUUUACUC
rnacentral:rRNA from 1 species